rnacentral:rRNA from 1 species
UACGAAGGGGGCUAGCGUUGUUCGGAUUUACUGGGCGUAAAGGGCGCGUAGGCGGCCACCGCAAGUCAGUUGUGAAAUCUCUGGGCUUAACCCGGAACGGUCAGCUGAUACUGCGGGGCUAGAGUGCAGAAGGGGCAACUGGAAUUCUCGGUGUAGCGGUGAAAUGCGUAGAUAUCGAGAGGAACACCUGCGGCGAAGGCGGGUUGCUGGGCUGACACUGACGCUGACAGCGCGAAAGCUAGGGGAGCGAACGGG